CAAUAGCGUAUAUUAAAGUUGUUGCAGUUAAAAAGCUCGUAGUUGGAUUUCUGGUGGGAGCGAUCGGUCUGGCGCUUAGCGCGAGUACUUGCAUCGUCUCCGGCCAUCCUUGGGGAGAGUCUGUCUGGCAUUAGGUUGUCGGGCAGAGGAUCCUCAUCGUUUACUGUGAAAAAAUUAGAGUGUUCAAAGCAGGCUUAUGCCGUUGAAUAUAUUAGCAUGGAAUAAUAAGAUAGGACUUUGGUACUAUUUUGUUGGUUUGCGCACCAAAGUAAUGAUUAAUAGGGACAGUUGGGGGUAUUCGUAUUCCGUUGUCAGAGGUGAAAUUCUUGGAUUUACGGAAGACGAACCACUGCGAAAGCAUUUACCAAGGAUGUUUUCAUUAA
rnacentral:rRNA from 1 species